CAGACAUCUCAGAGACAGAGAAAAGAGAAAAGUUCAGGGGGGCGUCUGCCCUCUCUCCCACAGCUCCGUCCUUCGCCCGAAGUUUGUGUGGUAAGAGGCCAAGUAUAGGCAUCAAUUCCACAAUUAUCUCCUUUUACCUGCUAGGGUUGUGCUGGGCUCGGAGAACACACACACACAUGCACACACACAUGCACACACACGAAUACACACUGCCUUCAUGGAGCUUACAUUUUAUUGAGCAAGAUAGAUAAUAAGCGUUAGAAAUGAAACACAUGGAAUGUGGAAGAGGGCAGGGUAAAAGGGCCUCAUCCCUGUGAUAGCGAUGAGAGGAAGGGAGGAGGCAGGAACUAAGCAGGGCAGAUUGGGAGGUAGAGCCUCGCAAGGAGAGAGUCAAUAGACACCCCAGACAGGAGUGGGCUGGUGUAGAGGGGCCAUCAAAGGCGUCAGCCAAAUGGAGUGGCGUGCCCUAGAGAGGAAGACUAAAGUUCAGAGCAACAGUACCACAUUUGCUGCUGGAAGAGGGUAAAAUGGCCCAAGCGACUUGGGAAGGCAGUUUAGAAACUUCAUAGACUCCUACUAUGCAAUCAAGCAAGUGCACUCAUUGGGACGUCCCCACAAAAACCCGCACACAGAUGUUGACAGCUGCGCUCUCCAUACCGGCCAAGAUUGGGACGCAC